GACGAACGCUGGCGGCGUGCCUAAUACAUGCAAGUUGAGCGCUGAAGGUUGGUACUUGUACCAACUGGAUGAGCAGCGAACGGGUGAGUAACGCGUGGGGAAUCUGCCUUUGAGCGGGGGACAACAUUUGGAAACGAAUGCUAAUACCGCAUAAAAACUUUAAACACAAGGUUUAAGUUUGAAAGAUGCAAUUGCAUCACUCAAAGAUGAUCCCGCGUUGUAUUAGCUAGUUGGUGAGGUAAAGGCUCACCAAGGCGAUGAUACAUAGCCGACCUGAGAGGGUGAUCCGCCACAUUGGGACUGGGACACGGGCCAAAAUUCUACGGGAGGCAGCAGUAGGGGAUCUUCGGCAAUGGACGAAAGUCUGACCGAGCAAAGCCGCGUGAGUGAAGAAGGUUUUCGGAUCGUAAAACUCUGUUGGUAGAGAAGAACGUUGGUGAGAGUGGAAAGCUCAUCAAGUGACGGUAACUACACAGAAAGGGACGGCUAACUACGUG
rnacentral:rRNA from 1 species